GAUGAAGAACGGAGCGAAAUGCGAUAAGUAGUGUGAAUUGCAGAAUUCAGUGAAUCAUCGAAUCUUUGAACGCACAUUGCGCCCUUUGGUAUUCCAAAGGGCAUGCCUGUUCGAGCGUCAUUUGUACCCUCAAGCUUUGCUUGGUGUUGGGCGUCUUGUCUCUAGCUUUGCUGGAGACUCGCCUUAAAGUAAUUGGCAGCCGGCCUACUGGUUUCGGAGCGCAGCACAAGUCGCACUCUCUAUCAGCAAAGGUCUAGCAUCCAUUAAGCCUUUUUUUCAACUUUUGACCUCGGAUCAGGUAGGGAUACCCGCUGAACUUAAGCAUAUCAAUAAGCGGAGGA
rnacentral:misc_RNA from 1 species